AUUUUUGUGUAAUAUGUGAAUACGUUCGCCAUCAUCGUGUAUUACGUGAAUGAAGCCUAACCAUAAUUUCUGUAAAAAUGGUUGGCAGGCGUGCUGUUCCUGGUUGUAAAUCAACAUAUUUCAAAGGAAAUCAAAAAGAAAACGAGGUUACCCUGUUUGCAAUUCCUAAAACUUCAUUAUCAAAAUGGCGAGAACUAAUUCCAUGGAUUGAAAUUUUGAACGUGUUCCAUCCUUACAAACGGUGGACUCUUAAUGCUGGAGCAAUGCCCUGGAAACCAACAUUUUCUGUUAAAUGAUACAUCUAGUCAACAAGUAAUGCAAAAUGUUGAUGUUUUCAAAUGGAGAAAUAACUGGAAGCUCCCUGGAUCAUGUGUGAGCUAAUGCAGUUGAUGGUCAAUUUGUGGCAUGUACUCUAUGAAGCUGAGCCAAACUAUGCUACGUUUAACAAAUACGCCCGAGUAUUAUGCUCCGUCGCUUCACACAUUCACGAAUCCAAAAGCAUCAUUCAAGCAGCUCAGGAGAAGGAUUUGAAGACCGUCUGGUUUGUUACCCCUCCCUGCAUGCUGAAUGUUAAAUUGAUGCGACAGCUCGUUGAAGUCUCAUCCCGCUUUGUGAGUAAUCUUCCCGAUCUAAAGGAUCAUUUGGCAGUAGUUGAAAGUUCCAAAAAGAAAUCCUCGGCUUGCCCAACAGAACUUAGUCGAAACUGGGAACGAAGACACAGGUAUAUGCGAGAACUUAUGGACCAAGAAGAGACAAAUGUUUCAACCAGAUAUAAUGUGCACAAAUUAUUGUCUUUAGCUGAAUGUGGUGUUUGAAAUAACAAUGACAAUUUUGUUUGCAUACAAGGAGAACUUCGUGAUACGAUUUCUUUUAUUUUUCAUAUCCACUACAGCAUUUCUUUGCCAUUAGAUGUACAUAUUUGUUUCCCACUAUAACGCAGCCAACUUAAAAUUUCUAGACGGGUUGUUUAAGGAGAGUGGUGUAACGUUCAAUCUUUGAUGCCAAACUCAUGUCGAUGUAGCGAUCUCCAAGGACAACUACAAGUCCACCAACAAUGGAGGGAUCCACCUUGGUUGAAAUCUUGAGACUGUCCUUUCUGCAAGAAUCCAGAAAGAGCGGCAGUAACCUCUUUCAAUGUAGCAGCAUCCAAGGCCUUGAUAUAAGAAUAGAUUUUUUUAAACAUGUAAUUGUUUAAUGUUUUUUAGAUUUAUAUUUUACCUUGGCUGAGGUGACCUCACAUACAACUUCACCUCUGAAUGCAGCCAUCAUGUUAAAGAAAUGGCCAGUGACAACAUCCAAUUUGUUAAGUCUUCCAUUCUCAGCAAGGAGUUCUGUAAUCAUAAACAUAUGAAUAACAAUUAGAAUGAAGUGAAAACCAAUAGAAAAGAAAAACUUACCAAGGAAGUUGCCUGUAACAGCACUCAUUUUCAAUUUCUUGGCAACUGAAAUAAGAGCAUCUUUCUUAAGUGAUCUCUUCAAAGUGGGGUUGGCAAUGAAUUCUGCCAAACGAGAUCUUUGGCAAUAGUUGCAUGAAAGUCCUUCAACUCGCUCUCAACUUUGUCCAAAGAUUUCUGUUUGGAAGCAGCAGAGUAGAGUGCUGAGGCAUAGCGA
rnacentral:lncRNA from 1 species